AUGAUGGGAGCUAGCUUGCUAGAAAAGUCAUGGCGGACGGGUGAGUAACGUGUAAAGAACUUACCAUAUAGACUGGGAUAACAGAGGGAAACUUCUGAUAAUACUGGAUAAGUUAGAAGUAGCAUUACUAAGUAAUGAAAGGUAGCAAUACGCUAUAUGAGAGCUUUGCAUCCUAUUAGCUAGUUGGUGGGGUAAAAGCCUACCAAGGCGAUGAUAGGUAGCCGGCCUGAGAGGGUGGACGGCCACAAGGGGACUGAGAUACGGCCCUUACUCCUACGGGAGGCAGCAGUGGGGAAUAUUGGACAAUGGAGGCAACUCUGAUCCAGCAAUUCUGUGUGUGUGAAGAAGGUUUUAGGACUGUAAAACACUUUUAGUAGGGAAGAAAGAAAUGACGGUACCUACAGAAGAAGCGACGGCUAAAUACGUGCCAGCAGCCGCGGUAAUACGUAUGUCGCGAGCGUUAUCCGGAAUUAUUGGGCUUAAAGGGCAUCUAGGCGGUUAAACAAGUUGAAGGUGAAAACCUGUGGCUCAACCAUAGGCUUGCCUACAAAACUGUAUAACUAGAGUACUGGAAAGGUGGGUGGAACUACACGAGUAGAGGUGAAAUUCGUAGAUAUGUGUAGGAAUGCCGAUGAUGAAGAUAACUCACUGGACAGCAACUGACGCUGAAGUGCGAAAGCUAGGGGAGCAAACAGGAUUAGAUACCCUGGUAGUCCUAGCUGUAAACGAUGAUCACUGGGUGUGG
rnacentral:rRNA from 1 species